rnacentral:rRNA from 1 species
ACAGAGGGUGCAAGCGUUGUUCGGAAUUAUUGGGCGUAAAGCGCGUGUAGGCGGCUUUGCAAGUCGGGUGUGAAAGCCCUCAGCUUAACUGAGGAAGUGCGCCCGAAACUGCAGAGCUUGAGUACCGGAGAGGAUGGUGGAAUUCCCGAAGUAGAGGUGAAAUUCGUAGAUAUCGGGAGGAACGCCGGUGGCGAAGGCGACCGUCUGGACGGAUACUGACGCUGAGACGCGAAAGCGUGGGUAGCAAACAGGA